AAUCAACGCUGGCGGCGUGCCUAACACAUGCAAGUCGCACGAGAAAGGGACUUCGGUCCUGAGUACAGUGGCGCACGGGUGAGUAACACGUGAAUAAUCUACCUCCGAGUGGGGAAUAACUGAGAGAAAUCUUAGCUAAUACCGCAUAACACUUACGAGUCAAAGCAGCAAUGCGCUUGGAGAGGAGUUCGCGGCAGAUUAGUUAGUUGGCAGGGUAANGGCCUACCAAGACGAUGAUCUGUAUCCGGCCUGAGAGGGC
rnacentral:rRNA from 1 species